rnacentral:rRNA from 1 species
UACGUAGGGACCAAGCGUUGUUCGGAUUUACUGGGCGUAAAGGGCGCGUAGGCGGCGUGUUAAGUCAGCUGUGAAAUCUCCAAGCUUAACUUGGAACGGUCAGCUGAUACUGAUGUGCUAGAGUGCAGAAGGGGCAACCGGAAUUCUUGGUGUAGCGGUGAAAUGCGUAGAUAUCAAGAGAAACACCUGAGGUGAAGACGGGUUGCUGGGCUGACACUGACGCUGAGGCGCGAAAGCUAGGGUAGCAAACGGG